GACGAACGCUGGCGGCGUGCUUAACACAUGCAAGUCGAACGGAAAGGCCUAGCUUGCUGGGUACUCGAGUGGCGAACGGGUGAGUAACACGUGGGUGAUCUGCCCCUGACUUUGGGAUAAGCCUGGGAAACUGGGUCUAAUACCGGAUAUUCAUUUUUCCUCGCAUGGGGAUUUGUGGAAAGCUUUUGCGGUUGGGGAUGGGCCCGCGGCCUAUCAGCUUGUUGGUGGGGUAAUGGCCUACCAAGGCGACGACGGGUAGCCGACCUGAGAGGGUGAUCGGCCACACUGGGACUGAGACACGGCCCAGACUCCUACGGGAGGCAGCAGUGGGGAAUAUUGCACAAUGGGCGCAAGCCUGAUGCAGCGACGCCGCGUGAGGGAUGACGGCCUUCGGGUUGUAAACCUCUUUCAGCUCCGACGAAGCGCAAGUGACGGUAGGGGCAGAAGAAGCACCGGCCAACUACGUG
rnacentral:rRNA from 1 species